GACGGAGGAUGCAAGUGUUAUCCGGAAUCACUGGGCGUAAAGCGUCUGUAGGUGGUUAAAAGUCCACUGUUAAAAAUUGAAGCUUAACUUCAAAGAUGCCGUGGAAACUUUUAAACUUGAGUAUGGUAGGGGUAGAGGGAAUUUCCAGUGGAGCGGUGAAAUGCGUAGAUAAUUGGGAGGAACACCAGUGGCGAAGGCGGACUCACUGGACCGGUUCGUGACGCUGAGGCGCGAAAGCGUGGGGAGCAAACGGGG
rnacentral:rRNA from 1 species